rnacentral:rRNA from 1 species
GACGAACGCUGGCGGCGUGCCUAAUACAUGCAAGUAGAACGCACAGUUUAUACCGUAGCUUGCUACACCAUAGACUGUGAGUUGCGAACGGGUGAGUAACGCGUAGGUAACCUGCCUGGUAGCGGGGGAUAACUAUUGGAAACGAUAGCUAAUACCGCAUAAUAUUAAUUAUUGCAUGAUAAUUAAUUGAAAGGUGCAAUUGCACCACUACCAGAUGGACCUGCGUUGUAUUAGCUAGUAGGUGAGGUAACGGCUCGCCUAGGCGACGAUACAUAGCCGACCUGAGAGGGUGAUCGGCCACAACGGGACUGAGACACGGCCCAGACUCCUACGGGGAGCAGCAGUAGGGAAUCCUCGGCAAUGGACGAAAGGCCUAACGAAGAAAGGCGCGUGAGUGAAGAAGGUUUUCGGAUCGUAAAGCUCUGGUGUAAGAGAAGAACGGGUGUGGGAGUGGAAAGUUCACACUGUGACGGUAUCUUACCAGAAAGGGACGGCUAACUACGUG